CCCAUCCCGUCACACGACCUCGCCACCCGGAAGACCACCCAUGGUGAGCCGCCGCCGAUCCACCCGCGCGAGGCGCCAUUGAUUAUCCCUCGGACACGCUGUUGUGCGCAGACACGCCCGCGACUCCCCGGCUCAUGCGCCGUCACGCCGACCACCUCCGGCCCUGACCUAGGGUUUGGUGGGCGAGCUCUUGAGAGCCGAUCUCACGCCGACCCGAGGUGAACCGCGUCCCAUCCAUCACCGGGGCUGGAUCCUAAGGGGCAGAGGUGCAAUCCUGCAGAGCUGCUGGAUCCGAAAAUUAAAGUUACUGUUGUUCAGGUGUGAUUGGCCCGACGGCAACUCGGGCUUGCUGAGAACUAAGAGGCAGCAGCAGGGGGGAGAGGGAAAUGGGGAAGCCUCUAUGCCAGCGUGAGCGACGGUUCCCCAACGAGGCAGGGUUGUUCGACAACAUGUCACCACCGAGCUGCUGCCGAGAUAAUACCGAUGCUCAAUCCCGAUCUGGAUGUCUCAUCUUUGAACAUUAGAAACGCUGAGAAGUCCAUGUAAGCUUGCCCAUGCUGGUUCCGCGCGACAUUAUAUCUCUGGACGUUCAUACUUCCACAGCUCUAGACAUGAACUUCCUGAUAUGGUAAUAAAAUUCUGGUGGAGAGACCUCCCAUAUUUAUUAGACUUGCUUGCUUUGGCAUGUUACUUCCUCUAAAUUUUAAAUAGGAUAUUCUUGGGAAUGAGAUGUAAUUUUAGGAAAUAAUUUGUAUUCAACACUUUAUUUUAUCCUGAAACUAUUGAUCUCUCUCUCUCUCUCUCUCUCUCUCUCUCUCUCUCUCUCUCUACGUACAUCUACAUAUAUCGCACCAGCUGUUCCAGGUAGAGUAGUAGUGGCCACAAAAUUUUACUGAAAUAAUCAUGCGAGAUUACCAAUGAAGAAAAUUCUAUAGAAGGAUAGAAUGCGGGUAUAGAUAUUAUAAUAUUUGGUGUCAGAUAUGUUUACUCAGAUGAUCCAAGAACUGAAUGAACCAUUGGAAUAAAAUACCUCUCUGUUGGCUUUAAAAAUUGUACAGUCAACAUGCUAAUAUUAUGAUUAUAUUAUCCGCCCUGAAACUAAACUUUGUUUGGUGGUUGAGCUAGCAAAGAUUGGGAUUUUGAUUUCUAACAUGCAUAUCUUGCUUUUCCUCCAUCUUACUAUAUGGUCUGUCCUUCCAUCCUAAUUCAGAAGCUUCACCCUUGGUCGAGGUGGCCGUUGUUUGUUUGCUUUUGUUUCUGUGUCAUCUCACAUAUCACAGUUUGCUACUUGCAAGUGUGAGUACUCUCUCUGAGCUGUAAGAUGCAACCCAAGACUGUAUUUGUGUUCUGUUGGGGCGUGAUCAUUGGAUGGUGGAUUAGGAUCAGUGCCUAACUAUGUCCCUAGGAUGUAUAUAAUUUGGAUUGCAUAGUUCAGUUUUGUAUCUCAGUCUAGAUUUGGAUUGAAAAUAAUUCCUUGCAAAAAUUGAUAUGUUAGGAAACAAGCAAAUGUGUAAGAUAUGUAGGUGCAAUCUUUUUUUGUAUAAGAUAACUGGUUUAUCUGUUUAGUUGAUCCUUACUGUCGGUUGUCCAUGACGGAAGUUUAUGUUACUGUCGAAAUUGAUUAAGUUGAGUUUUCUAAUGUUUGCCUCUUUCUAAUAUGAAUUAUCAGGUAAGGACUCCAGUCUAAAUGUAAUGUAUAGUUCUAGGCUAUGCAAAUAAAAUGAAGUACCUGCCUAUUUUGAGCGAAUGCCCUACUGGAUGCCAUUUCUUAAGUUACUUUGUACCUACAGAGAGCUCAUUAGUGGAUAAGUUCUAUGGUGCAUUGGGAUUAUAUGUAGGAAGAAUAAAUGGCUUGAUUAAAUUGAGGAAACACUUUUACUGGAUGCUUAUGAAACUUAAAUGGCAACUACAGUAUAAAAGGAACAAAGAUCAAUGCCUGCAUACGGAUCAGUGACGAUGAAUGUAGGAGUAUUAAUUUCACCUCUAUUUGCCAUGGAUGCUUAUGGAUCGGAGUCUGUUGGAUUAGUAUAAACAUUACACAUGUUGCCAUUCCUUGCUUAAUAAACAUGCACGUUCUGCUCAAAGUCCUAAUGCACUGAGUGCAUGGUGUUUUGCUUUAGCCUUAGUCUUUUGUUCGGUAAUUGAUUACUUAGAGAGCCACAAGCUGCUUCUCCCUUAAACAAAAUGACACUUCGUAUAAUUGAUUACUCAGAGAGCCACAAGCGCAAGGAAAUCUUAACAUCCAGUUGGGUAUUGCAGAGUGUGGUUUUCUGUAGCUCAGGCUACACGGUACCCCUUAUCUUUGCCAUCCAUUUCUGCAUCGCGAUCCGUGCAGACGCAUUUGUCUUUUUUGUUUUUCUCAAACGACACAACAUAUAAACUUCAAAUUUUGCAGAACAACAAUACAUUCUAACUACAAUCUGGGAAAAAACUUUCAGAUUUUUUCAUGCAUUUUAAAUACUUAAAAUAAUAUUUUUAGUCAAACAAAAUCUCAUUUUCUAUAUUUAUAUCAGACCAAAAAAUCUGAAAGUUUUUUCACACAUUGAUGUUCUAAUGUUUGUUCGAUCUGCAAAGUUUGAAGUUCAUAUGUUGUUUCAUUUUAGAGAAAGAGAAAAGAGAAAUCUUCUUGUUGUAAGUUAGUUGGAGAGUACGGAUCUCAAAGCAAGGCUGAAGGGUUGAGGAUAAGAGGUUCCAUGUAGCCUGUGCUACAAAGGAACUUUGUGUUCCAAGAAGUAACAAUUUUAGAAGACCUAUACAUGAGUUGGACAUAUUAUUCCCACAGUCAUUAAUUUCUGCAUUCCAAUAUUUCUGUUAGUUUCAGGUACGAUCCACUAACUGCUUUGGUGUUUAUUUAGGGUUUGAAAAACAUUCUGGACCACCGCAUUGUUCAAAGUAUGGAGUGAUUUGUAUACUUCGAUAGAAAAAUUUACAGAUGGUUAGCUUUUUCGAGUAUUCCGAUUCGUAGUAGUCUGGAGGGAAUUCACUUAUAUAUUUGUGGUGCAUAAUUGUCAUGAUUCUUUCACCUAUCCAGUCGAUCAUCGCUCACCAUAGCCGCAGCUGCUCUGUGUCGCUGUUCCUCAGCCAAGAUCGCGCCUCGGCCACCAAGUCGUCACCACUGGGAAUCCCACAUUUCUCGAGGACCAAAUUGGGUGCUGUUUUUCUACUCAAUUCUGCUCCUGAUGGUUUUGUGAUUGACCAACGUGGUGGAAAGGGCAACGUACGCCAAGGCGCACUCCCCUCUCUCCCCCUCUUCACAUGUACUCUUUUCCUGAUUUAGAUCUUUCUCAACAUCUCAUGCCACGAGUCAAAAUGAGUAGCACUAUUCAUGUACAUUCUAAUCAUGCGCAUUAGCUUUGCUGGGUAGUAAUGAUUAUAGAUCCUUAUUUCUGCAUGUUUUAGACCAUGUUCGGAGACCCGCCACUGCACCACUCCGCUCCCGGAGCUGGAGUUAAAAAGCACGGAGCUGGGAAAUAGAUGCUUCACAGCUCCUCGUAUUUUUAGGAGCUGGAGUGACUCCGAGCAGGGCCUUAGUUUCCUGUUGUGCAGUUUGCUGUGGUGGCAUUAAUUCAUAUAAUAAGUUAAUAAUCAUGCCAUGAGUGACUAUGGGGCACUAGCACUAAGAGCCUUAUUUUUUUCCUUCUGUUCUUCACUAAUAUAUUCUUCUUAAUUAGUUUCUUUAAUUACCAAUAUAGGCCUUUAAUUUGUGUGCACCUAAUAUUAAAUCCUGAACAAAGUGAAAUUAUGUAGUGUUCAAAAUUAUAAAGUGUACUUAAUUGCACAUAAUGUGCCUUAUGGAAGAACUGAGCACCCAUAUUUUGUACUUAGAAUUUAGAACUAUACUUUGGUUGGUUUGGUUUAGUAAUACUACUUGAGGCAUCCUUUUGAAAAUAUAUGUAAGAAGACCCGAAUACUCAUUCAAAGUGUUUUUGUAUUAACAUUCAUAUAUAUAUGUAGCUCUGAUAAGUGUUGGUGGGUUUAGUUUUUCAAUACUAUAGAUGAUGUUUUCUUUAUAGAAUAAGAUGGAACUAAACAUAUCCAAAGUAACAUUUAGAAUUACUCAACUCUGACAAGCUUCGACAGCUUUACCUUUAUAAUACUCCCUCCGUCCCAAAAUAAGUGUCGCUGAUUCUACAACUUUAUACUAAAUCAGCGACACUUAUUUUGAGAGGAGGGAGUACCAUAGAGUUGAUCGUGCCUUCUUAUAAUAGCAUUCAGACUACCAUAUUUCCUCUUUGAUAAGCUUACGAGAACAAUCUUCAGCCUUUUAUUUAAUCUAAUAGAAGAAUAAAAUAGAGUGAGUGAUCACUUACAUGUUCAUAAUCUUAAGGGUAGAAGCAAUAAUCUGCAGAAGGAACUAUAUGUUAUAAUCUGCAGAAGGAACUAUAUGUUUUGAGGAGGCGGAGUCACGCGCGAGAGCAUGAGGUGUUCGCACCUGGUGACUUUCUUGAGACAAGCACAAGAGCAUAAGGAUCAUGGCAUGUCCUUGCGGUUUUCAUUCCCAUGACUGUGCCAUUCGCGUUUGUACAGGUGUAUCCUGCUCUUGCUUUCUUACCGUCGAGGAGAUGGAUAGAUAUAGAUUCUAGUAUUUCUCGGUUCGCUAUACAGAGAUGGAGCUUGCAAAACACAUUAAUUUACCGGCCGAUGGCCUGUGGGCUGAACUCGUGUGUGGAUGCGCAACUGGGCAAGUCCGUCUGAUGAAAGGUGUGGACGGAAGAGCGACAAUAACUACGAGGUUGGUCAAAGAUUGAAAGAAAUCUCUUAUGUGUCUUCGGCUUCGACACUAUGCAUAGGAAGCCGUUGUUGAUAAACCAAUCUUUGAGAAGGUUCAUGUGGUGUGGCGUAUGGAAGGUUGAAUGUCAAGGCGAUCAGGUGGAUCUAUCAAAAAAAUAUGCUUGUGUGGAACUACAUAUGUUCUUUGUUGCUGCUGUGGCUUGAUUUUGCCGUAUGAAAAGUAUAUUGUCUGUAUCAAACUUGAUGUGGAUUGACGAAUGGUUCUACUGACAAAAUUCCUCAUGGUUGCUUUGCAUUUGCUACAUGUAUUUGCCUUCCCUUCUGCCAUGACUUUGAUAAAUGAUCAUAUACGAAGUUGCAAUAAUAUUGUGGUUUGUUUA